rnacentral:rRNA from 1 species
GACGGAGGAUGCAAGCGUUAUCCGGAAUGAUUGGGCGUAAAGCGUCCGCAGGUGGCAGUUCAAGUCUGCUGUCAAAGACCGGGGCUUAACUUCGGAAAGGCAGUGGAAACUGAACAGCUAGAGUAUGGUAGGGGCAGAGGGAAUUCCUGGUGUAGCGGUGAAAUGCGUAGAGAUCAGGAAGAACAUCGGUGGCGAAGGCACUCUGCUGGACCAUAACUGACACUCAAGGACGAAAGCUAGGGGAGCGAAUGGG